GUUGCUGAAGCCAGACAGAAGGAAGAGUCGUUUCCAGUGAUGCCGGUUUGAGGUGGGGAGGAGGGGUGAGAACGGCUUUGCUUUUCCGAUCUCUUGGCUCCAUUAAAACUAUAUGUCACUAAUGCUAAGCACCAACUUCUGGCUGUUUGGUAGCAGGCAGCCUUGUGGAGCACAUCUGCUCGAAGGACUGGGAGUGAGUGAAAUCCUUAAACAUGUCAACAUGUUUAUCUUUGCUUUGAUAAUGACGGGCAUCACGGCAUAUUCUCUCUAUUCUUUUUCCCUACUAUGUAUGUGUGUGAUCAUGUGUGCACCUGUACAUGUAUGCCUGUGUAUGUAGAGACCAGAGGUCAAAUUUGGGUGGCCUUCCCCAGACAUUUUGAGAUGGGGGCCUCCCACUGGUCUGGACUGGCCGAUUUGAGUUGGACAGCAGGACAGCAGUCAAGGGUCCGUCUAUUCCUGGCCCUUAGUUUGGGGACUAUACAUACAUGCCACUAGGCCCGGAUUCUAAGAAUCAGUCUCAGGCUUUGCUUGCUUGCUAUCCCAGGCCUCUGCCAGCUGAGUAGAGAGCUUCGCCUCUCCUCUUCUACUGUGACAUGCAAGACAUUUAUUAGUUACUACAUAGUCUCGUGUUUGCACAAGUAAUUUCUCAAGCAGAUAUUUGUUGUUUAGUUAGUUCAUUCAUUUAUUUAACUAAAAUGUAUUAACACUGCGCAUGUGUGUGUUCAGGCUUUGUAGUUAACCCUGAACCUCCCAGUUACAUUUUUAAAAAUUUCCUUGUAUAUAAUACCAGAAAUAUUUUUAGUCUACCUCACUGUUAGUAUUAUAAGGAGCAAAUAUGACAUCUGAGCUAAGAUAUAAAAAUGAACACAACUAAUAUACUAGGGGAGCUGUUGUUACCCUAAGUCCUAAGGGAUAGUGACAAGCACAGAAAAGGAUGGGACAGCAGAGCUGACUUGUUCUUCUCAUGCUGGGAGGACAAUCAUUUUAAGUGGCUUAAAUGUCUAAAUAACACAAAUAUUUAACAGAAAAUGAAAAAAAAAGUCAAACUAAACUUCUGAAUGUGACUUACAGAUUUCUCAAAAACCAAUAUACGCUAGCUCAGUGCUUCGAAACUGUGCACUCUGGAAAGUCGUGAUUAAUUGGUUAUUAGAACAAAAGCUCCACUGUGGAACAGACAGCCACAUGCCAAGCUAUUCUGAUUUUUGUUUUUAGAAAAUCCCUGAGACAAAUUCUAUUUUGCUUUGAAAUCUCCUACACUUAUAAAUUACGGUCUAGGCAGCAUGAAAGCAACAGCUACAUCCCGUGAGAAAUGUUCUGUAACGGUCACAGGGCCACUAAUAUUAUUAGUGAAUUUGUUUGUGAGGGACAAACAUGGCAUUCACAUGUAC
rnacentral:lncRNA from 1 species